CCCGCUGUCCUGGGCAUCACCUUCGGCGCCUUCCUCAUCGGGGCCCUGCUCACCGCCGCGCUCUGGUACAUCCACUCGCACACGCGUCACCCCGGCAAGCGGGAGCCCGUGGUGGCGGUGGCUGCCCCGGCCUCCUCGGAGAGCAGUAGCACCAACCACAGCAUCGGGAGCACGCAGAGCACGCCCUGCUCCACCAGCAGCAUGGCGUAGCGCCCAGCCUGGAGCCCUGGGGGCCACCCCACCAGCCCUGGCCCAGCAGGAGAGACUGAGCAGCCGCCAGCUGGGAACCACUGGCCAUGAACUUAUCCCAGGACCCCAACCCCUCCAUUCGGCCAAGGACGGACCAUGCCCUCUGCGCCCUCCCCUCCUGCCUCCCUCUCAGAGGCCUGCUGCCAGGGAGGGCACCAGCUUGGAACAGCUUGGGGUCCCCCCACCCCACCCCACCGAACCGUCAAACCCAGUGGGCUUGGGGUACAGCUGCCCGGGACCACGGAGAAAGAGACCACUUCCCCACAUGUCCACGCUGUCGUAGCAACCCAAGGGGCUGUGAUUUAACCUGGAUUCAGCACUCACUGACCUGGGCUGGGUGGGAGUUGAAAACUCCCAGACGGACUCAGCCCAGCCCGCCCAGGCUGACAGGCACCUCCUCCACGAGAACAGAAGAGGUCCGGCCCAGAGCCACCUGGACCUGCUCCCAGCGGCCUCCCCAUCUGGACUGGCACAACUUCCAAGGGGAAACUGAAGUUUAGGGGCUCCCAGCCUGGGAGUGGGGGAGCCUAGCUCCUCCCUGUAACCGCCACACAGAGACACCCCCCCGCCUCUGCCCCCAGGCAGCCAGGCUGCCUGACCUGGGCCCACCCCUGUAUACUCACCACCAAUAAACCAGACCAUGAAACCAAUGCUGGGCUGGGCAAGGAGGGGGGGGACCUAAACUGGUGUGAGCGUUCUGGGUUCAAAUCCUGGACCUGCCACUUAGCAGCUGUGACUGUGGGCAGGUCUCAGGGCUUCUUGAAGCCAGCCACGGUCCCCUCACCUGUAAAAUGGAUGAGAAUUCUCGGUCUCGCAAGGAGGCCUGCAGAGCGGCCCCUGGUGUGUGGUCAGUGAACACUGACUCAUUUCUCUCGUUUCACAGAGAGGCCCC
rnacentral:lncRNA from 1 species